rnacentral:sRNA from 1 species
UGGGCAAGGACUGGCAUCGGCCCUGCCUGAAGUGUGAGAAAUGUGGGAAGACGCUGACCUCUGGGGGCCACGCUGAGGUAGGUGGGACCCACCCUGGUGGCAGGGGCCAGGGGUGAUGGCAUCCCCUUACGGCCCUUCUCUUUGCAGCACGAAGGCAAACCCUACUGCAACCAUCCCUGCUACGCAGCCAUGUUCGGGCCUAAAGGUAUGCUCCCCUCCUCCCCGCCCCACCCCACAGCCUCCUCCACCCCAGCCUGUUGACUUUUUCCACCUUCUCUGCAGGCUUUGGGCGGGGUGGAGCCGAGAGCCACACUUUCAAGUAAACCAGCCCUGCCAGGAGCCCGGAAGUGGGUCCGCACGAGACGGAAUAGACUACACUCAAACUCCAGGGGAACCGUUCAUUGGGCUUGGCCACGAAGGCGGGUCCCUGCCGACGCAGUGAUUGGAUGCAUGUCCUGUCAGCGCGGUGAUUGGACCUCCGCGCUCUGGCAGCUCCUCUUCCGUGUGCUCUC